rnacentral:rRNA from 1 species
AGGAUGAACGCUGGCGGUCUGCUUAACACAUGCAAGUCGAACGGGCGUAGCAAUACGUUAGUGGCGGACGGGUGAGUAACGCGUGAGAAUCUACCUUCAGGACGGAGACAACAGUUGGAAACGACUGCUAACCCCCGAUGUACUGAAAAGGCAAAUAUUUAUAGCCUGAAGAAGAGCUCGCGUCCGAUUAGCUAGUUGGAGAGGUAAAAGCUCACCAAGGCGACGAUCGGUAGCUGGUCUGAGAGGACGAUCAGCCACACUGGGACUGAGACACGGCCCAGACUCCUACGGGAGGCAGCAGCGAGGAAUUUUGCGCAAUGGGGGCAACCCUGACGCAGCAACGCCGCGUGGGUGAUGAAGGCUCUCGGGUCGUAAAGCCCUUUUGGCGGGGACGACACCGACGGUACCCGCCGAAGAAGCCACGGCUAACUACGUGCCAGCAGCCGC